rnacentral:rRNA from 1 species
CCUACGGGGGACUGCAGUGGGGGAUAUUGCACAAUGGGGGAAACCCUGAUGCAGCAACGCCGCGUGUGGGAAGAAGGUUUUCGGAUUGGAAACCACUGUUCGUGGGGAAGAGAAUGACGGUAACCAAGGAGAAAGCUCCGGAUAACUACGGGCCAGCAGCCGCGGUAAGACGUAGGGAGCAAGCGUUGUCCGGAGUUACUGGGUGUCAAGGGGGCGUAGGCGGUCUUGCAAGUCAGACGGGAAAACCACAGGCUCCACCUGUGGCCUGCGUGUGAAACGGUGGGGCUUGAGGGAAGUAGAGGUCGGCGGACUUCCCGGUGUAGCGGUGACAUGCGUCGAGCUCGGGCGGAACCCCAGUGGCGAAGGCGGCCUACUGGGCUUUACCUGCCGCUGAGGCACGAACGCCUGGGUAGCACACAGGAUUAGCUCCCCCAGUAGUC